GUCACCCUGGGGGUUUGGGGUGAAUCCGGGGGAUUUCGGGGCGGUUUUGGGGCGAUUUUUGGGCGAUUUUGGGUCGAUUUUGGGGCAGUUUUUGGGGUGAUUUUGGGGUGAUUUUGGGGCGAUUUUGGGGCAGUUUUUGGGUCGGUUUUUUGGCAGUUUUGGGGCAGAUUUUGGGUGGAUUUUGGCCGUUUUCAGGUCGGAUAUUGGGUGGAUUUUGGCCGAUUUUGGGCAGAUUUUGGGUGGAUUUUUGGUCAGUUUUUUGGGGCAGAUUUUGGGUGGAUUUUUGGUCAGUUUUUGGGGAAGAUUUUGGGUGGAUUUUGGCCAUUUUCGGUCAGUUUUUGGGUGGAUUUUGGCCGAUUUUGGGCAGAUUUUGGGUCGAUUUUUGGUCAGUUUUGGGGCAGAUUUUGGGUCGAUUUUGGGCAGUUCUUGUGGCAGAUUUUGGGUGGAUUUUGGCCGAUUUUGGGCAGAUUUUGGGUCGAUUUUUGGUCAGUUUUUGGGGCAGAUUUUGGGUGAAUUUUGGCCGUUUUCAGGUCGGUUUUUGGGCAGAUUUUGGCUGUUUUUUGGUCAGUUUUUGGGGCAGAUUUUGGGUGGAUUUUUAGGCAGUUCUUGGGGCAGAUUUUGGGUGGAUUUUGGCCGUUUUCAGGUCGGUUUUUGGGCAGAUUUUGGGUGGAUUUUUGGUCAGUUUUUGGGGCAGAUUUUGGCCGUUUUCAGGUCGGUUUUUGGGUGGAUUUUGGCCGAUUUUGGGCAGAUUUUGGGUGGAUUUUUGGGCAGUUCUUGUGGCAGAUUUUGGGUGGAUUUUGGCCGUUUUCAGGUCGGAUAUUGGGUGGAUUUUGGCCGAUUUUGGUCAGAUUUUGGGUCGAUUUUUGGUCAGUUUUUGGGGCAGAUUUUGGGUGGAUUUUGGCCGUUUUCAGGUCGGUUUUUGGGUGGAUUUUGGCUGUUUUUGGGGCAGAUUUUGGGUGGAUUUUUGGUCAGUUUUUGGGGCAGAUUUUGGGUGGAUUUUGGCCGAUUUUGGUCAGAUUUUGGGUCGAUUUUUGGUCAGUUUUUGGGGCAGAUUUUGGGUGGAUUUUGGCCGUUUUCAGGCCGGUUUUUGGGUGGAUUUUGGCCGAUUUUGGCCCACCUGCGUGGCGCGCCGCGCCUGCCGCAUCAGGCGGCUCCGGGCCUUGCGCUGCGACUCCGACUCCUCGUCCCGCGCCGGCGGCUGGAACGGCCUGCGGGGUUGGGGAGAAAAA
rnacentral:lncRNA from 1 species